rnacentral:rRNA from 1 species
GAUGUCUACUUGGAGGUUGUGGCCUUGAGCGUGGCUUUCGGAGCUAACGCGUUAAGUAGACCGCCUGGGGAGUACGGUCGCAAGAUUAAAACUCAAAUGAAUUGACGGGGGCCCGCACAAGCGGUGGAGCAUGUGGUUUAAUUCGAUGCAACGCGAAGAACCUUACCUACUCUUGACAUCCAGAGAAGUCGACGGAGACGUUGAUGUUCCACUUCGGGAGCUCUGAGACAGGUGCUGCAUGGCUGUCGUCAGCUCGUGUUGUGAAAUGUUGGGUUA